CUAUGCGCCUUGCCAGCCCGCUCAGUCAGAGUUUGAUCCUGGCUCAGAUUGAACGCUGGCGGCAUGCUUUACACAUGCAAGUCGAACGGCAGCACGGGCUUCGGCCUGGUGGCGAGUGGCGAACGGGUGAGUAAUAUAUCGGAACGUACCCAAGAGUGGGGGAUAACGUAGCGAAAGUUACGCUAAUACCGCAUACGAUCUACGGAUGAAAGUGGGGGAUCGCAAGACCUCAUGCUCCUGGAGCGGCCGAUAUCUGAUUAGCUAGUUGGUGAGGUAAAGGCUCACCAAGGCGACGAUCAGUAGCUGGUCUGAGAGGACGACCAGCCACACUGGAACUGAGACACGGUCCAA
rnacentral:rRNA from 1 species